rnacentral:rRNA from 1 species
UACGGGGGGUGCGAGCGUUGUCCGGAAUCACUGGGCGUAAAGGGCGCGUAGGCGGUUUGAUAAGGGUGUGGUGAAAGUCCGGGGCUCAACCCCGGAUCUGCCGUGCCGACUGUCAAACUCGAGGACUGUAGAGGCAGACGGAAUUCCGGGUGUAGCAGUGAAAUGCGUAGAGAUGCGGAGGAACACCGAUGGCGAAGGCAGCCCCCUGGGUUGACACUGACGCUCAGGCACGAAAGCGUGGGGAGCAAACAGG